AGAGCAGGCCUCCUAGGGACAUCAACCAAGCACAAAAAUCUGAUGUUUUCAACAGGGCAUUCAUCAGUGCCUUUCUGAAUGACAGAACCAAAAUCCCUGUGGUUUACUGUAGAAUGCCUGCUUGUUGGUUCAGAUGUAACCAUCUCAUCCUAGCCUAUGGUGAUCCAUAUCCAUACUGGAGAACAGACCCCUCCCUGCCAGGGGCAAGGCUGCAGCACAAGCCCAGGUUGGACUCCUCCCACUCCAAGGAUGGCAGACAAGCAUCUCUUGAGGCUUCUCUGCAGACAUGGGGCUCCAGCACGAGAUCCUUGAAAUGCACACAGAAGCAGCUUCCACGAUUUGGAAAGGUCAGAGCCCAGAAACAGAUGGAUAAAUAGGUAAACAUGGAGAGGAGGAUGGACUGGCCAGACAGCCCUUGUCAUACAUCUGCAGACAGAACUGUCACGUGGGCACAAUGGGAGCCAGCAGCUCCAGCAUUCUCCUGUGACGUUCCAUGAAGGUAGCCAGAGACUCUAAGCCUUCUAUG